rnacentral:rRNA from 1 species
UAUUUAUUUAAUUAUUAAAUUUGAAAUUUUAAUUUAUAUUAAUAAAAGUAUUUAAAUUUUUAGUAUUUUAAUAGGAAAAAUUUAUUUAAUUAUAGAGAAUAUGUAUUGUGAAAGAAUUUCAAUUAAAUUUUUAGAAGAAAAAUUAAGUUUUUGUACCUUGUGUAUCAGGGUUGAUUAAUUAAUAUUAAUAAAUUUUUAUAUUCUCGAUUUUAAAAGAGCUAAGAAUUUAUAUUUUUUAUUGUAAAAUAAAUAUUAAAAAUAAUUUUUUAGUAAUGAAAUGUUAUUCGUUUUUAAAUGUAUCUAGUUUUUCUAGAAAUAAAUUAAAUUUGUUUUUAAAAUUUUAUGUAAAUUUUUAUUUAUUUAUUUAAAUUUUAAAGAUUAAAGUUUUGGGGAUAAGCUUGAAAUUUGAUUGUUAUAAGUAUUUUAAGUUUAUUUAAAUGUAGGAUUAGAAUUUUUUAUCAUUAAUAAAAUGUUAUAGUUAAUAAAUGUUUAAAUUUAAUUUAUAUUUAUUUUAAGUUUUUUAUAGAAAUUUUUAUUUUAAUUUUUAAUGUUAGGUAAUAAUGAUUAAAUUAGUAUAGAAUUUUUAUUUAUUUAUAAGAGUUAAAUUUUAGAUUAAGUAAAGGAAUUAGACAAAAAUAUUUUUCACCUGUUUAUUAAAAACAUGUCUUUUUGAUAAUAAUAUAAAGUCUGACCUGCCCACUGAGGAGUUAAAUGGCUGCGGUAAUUUGACCGUACAAAGGUAGCAUAAUCAUUAGUUUUUUAAUUGAAAGCUGGAAUGAAAGGUUUGAUGAGAAAAUAAUUGUCUCUGUUUAAAUUUUUAGAAUUUUAUUUUUAAAUAAAAAAGUUUAAAUAAUAAUAAAAGACGAGAAGACCCUAUAGAGUUUUAUAGAAUUUUAAAUUUGUUUUUUUUUGUAUUAAUAAUUUUUAUUUAAAGUUUUAUUUGGUUGGGGUGAUUGAAAAAUUUAAUUAACUUUUUUUGGUUUUAUACAUUGAUUUAUGAUUUUUUGAUCCAAUAUUUUUGAUUAGAAGAAAAAAUUACCUUAGGGAUAACAGCGUAAUUUUCUUUAAGAGUUCAUAUUAAAAGGAAAGAUUGCGACCUCGAUGUUGGAUUAAAUUUUAUUAUGGGUGUAGAAGCUCAAUAAUUAGGUCUGUUCGACCUUUAAAAAUUUACAUGAUCUGAGUUUAAACCGGCGUGAGCCAGGUUGGUUUCUAUCUUUAUUUAGAUAAAAUAUUUUAGUACGAAAGGACCAAAUAUUUAAUUAAUGAAUUUUGAAUUUGAAUAUUAGU